rnacentral:lncRNA from 1 species
GCGUGUAGGUUUAUUUAUUCAUUUAUUUAUUUUUAUUUUUUAUGAAUCUUUUAAGAUUGGAUGCAGUGUGUGCUGCCUUUGCCAGCUCAGGAACCAUUUUGGAGAGAGAAAAGAAGACCCUAAACACUUUUGUUAUUUUUGAUCACUCAGAAUUUUUUUUUUUUUUUUUUUGCCUCACUGUUGGUAAAGCUGAGAAAAAAAGAUCACAUUUUCCUUAGUGAGAAAAGCUGCAGUUUCUUCCAGUAUGCCUUUGAAGAGAGGGGCCCACCGCGGUUCCUGUCCUUGGAGAUGGUGUAUUGUUGAAGCGGGAGCUGUGACAAAGGCAGUGAGCCUUUGAGGUGCGUUCCAGUGGAGAAAUGGAUGUGAGGUCCGCACGCUGGCCACACAUCUCCAGCAAGCAGCAACCUCAAAUGCUAAUUGCGCAUGUUAAACAGAAGCAUGGGCUCCCAGCAGCCUCCCGGCUCCUUUUCGUAGAUGUUAUACGGAGAUGUUUAAGCCCUAGGACUCUUCCUUUCUUCCCCCUGGCGAAAGCUCUUCCUGUUGCCCACUUGUGUUCCCAUUAAGGGCCUGAGAUUGCGGUCCUCUGCUUGCAAAAAGCAGGCAAGUGCCAUGGGGGGGGGGGGGAUACUGGAGCCUUAGCGGUGAUCCCAGAAGUUGAGCGGUGUCAUGGCAAUUUUGCAAACUUAAAAACAGUAUGGAAGGCAAAACCAACCCACCAACCAACCAACCAACCAACCAACCAACCAACCAACCAACCAAGGGAGCCACAUGAAGUGCUGAGUCAUAGAGAAGAGCUGUGUGUGGGGUAGGCUGCCACCUUCCCUGGAGAGUGGAUAGCCCUGGGCUUCGGCAGUUACGGAGAUGAAGGGACCCUUCCUGCACAGUACGGGAUUCCAUGGCACUUUACAGCUUCGACUCAGAAGCCACAGUGACAUGCUUCAAGGGCCUUUCUUCUACUUGUGCCUCUCAGUGCCUCCAAAUGUGCCUUGUGCCAACACCCAAGCUGCUUACCUGGCUAUGAUCAGGUUGUACGCGUCAUUAAUCCCAGCACUUAGGAAGCAAGAGUCAAGCAGAGCUCUGUAAGGUGGAGGUUAGCCUGGUCUAAAUAGUGAGAUCCAGGCCAGCCAGGGCUACAGUGAGAGACUCUGCCUCAAAACCAAAACAAAACAGACAAACCAAAAUGACAACAAUCUCCACAUUGAGACAUGAGUCUGUCAUAUUAAGGAUCCUUCACAAACCCUAUUUUUUUCCUCCACAGUGCUGGGAACCCAGCAUCCUGAUUGUAAGAGGUACAUUUCAGCCAGUCAGUCAUCUCUUCAAAUGCCUCCAGUGGAAUUUCCAUGACUUUCAGAGUUUUUGGAGCUGCAGUCUGUACUCCAUGGCCUUGGGGUGCGAGUGAGUGGCUUUCCCUCACUCAGGCUCAGAACCACUACAGUAGCAGGACGCCACCCUAAGGUGCUGGUUGGGUUGAUGGAAGCAAAGGCUUGGCAGCAAGAAUAAAAAAGCUUGAGGCUUACGGAAGAUUUAGAACUUUACUCAAUUCAAGAAGCUUCAGAAAUGGAAAUGUGGACAUAAUAUCAGAAACCAUGGAAAU